AAUUCGUGAUGUGGACAUAUGUUUAUCAGGUCCUUGAAUCUCUCCCAGCAAGCCUGAAAGGUCUCAUCAACUCCUUGUAUGAAUCGACUGAUCUGUUCCUAUUAAAAUU